rnacentral:rRNA from 1 species
UACGUAGGUGGCAAGCGUUGUCCGGAUUUAUUGGGCUUAAAGGGUGCGUAGGCGGCCUUAUAAGUCAGUGGUGAAAUCUCCCGGCUUAACCGGGAGGGUGGCAUUGAUACUGUAGGGCUUGAGUGUAGUCGAGGUAGGCGGAAUUGACGGUGUAGCGGUGAAAUGCUUAGAUAUCGUCAAGAACACCGAUAGUGUAGACAGCUUACUAGGCUACAACUGACGCUGAGGCACGAAAGUGUGGGGAGCAAACAGG